rnacentral:lncRNA from 1 species
ACCCUCUGGCUCUGACUAGGUGCACUCUCCCGUGGGUUAUAAGUCAUCUCUCACAUGGUAACUAGAACUAUUUGCAAAGGUGACAGCUUAUUAUACCUCAGUGAGUGAAUUGAAUCAAAGAUAAUGGAUAUACUGGCAAGAUACGUCUCGCCGCUCUAAACGGGAGUUGUUGUCCACAAAGCGGCACGGCGGACUGUCUAGCUCCCGCCUAUACUUUCUUUGGAUUGGUGGAUAUAUUUUUUGGUUGAACAAAUUCAACACUCCAUACAAACUCCUUACUUGGUGGGCGAAAAAAAACACCACCUACUGGAGGAAGACAGAUUUUCCACUGAGUUGGGCCUCUCUUCCUCUCGAAAUUGAAUUGAGGAGAGGAGACAAAUCUGUAUACAAUGAGAUGCUCAUGUCUCCACCCCAAAAAUAGAGUACCACAGUAUGAGUCAUAAUACCUAGCGGUCAAACAGGGAAAUGGUUCUAAAUGGUUUUUCUCCAUUCAUUUCUCCUUAUAGGGGAUUUUAGAAACACUUACAAUAAGGGCUGUGUUUCAUGUGGGCUUACCCUGGCUUGACGUUUAGAUAACAAGUCUCUCGGGACAUGGUGACUUUUAUCAAUACAUUUGCCUGUAUUUACCCCCAACAAAUGAAAUGCUAGAUAGCUGCUAAUGUGGCUAUCAUAAAGAACUACAAAUGCCAUGUUCUGGACGAGACUGCCGAAUCGAUGCAAAGGCUUGGUGUCGGUGGCUGUUGGUUGUAGUGAGGAGACACCGACUGCAGUGCUUUUCCAGAGCUCAUUUUCUCUGCAGAAAGCCACCAUGACAUUAGCGAUAGUUUAGUGUUUUGAUACAUUGUAUCCAUAGCUAAUAAUGUAAACGUUGUACCUUGCAUACAAUAACAUACGCUCUAGCGUUGCUGCAUGUAAUAUUGUUACUAAUACGAACUGUUAAUUGUUGAAAUCAUGUAAUUGAUUAUACCAAGUACAUCUUCAUUGUAGCAGUUAAGAACCCACCUUUUCUUUAAAUCUUAUUAGCCACAGUCGUGUAAAAAGUAGGCAAGGCUUGAGAUCCAGGUAGUUCAGUAACGAUCAGCUGAGUUCAAGUCAAAUAGGACAUUUCGAAGGUGGCGCUCCAUGACGUAUUUCAAAUACGCUCCUCUCAUUGGUAGUUGCCACGGCACAAGCAUAACAAACCCCACCCUCUCAGAAUAGUUUUGUUGUUGACAUACCUCAUAACUUAUUUUCUCAGUGUACGUUCUGAUUUUUUUGGGGGGGAAAUAAACUCCAAGUCGAAUACUUUUAAUUAUUGUCAAACACAUAAAAGCCCUUUUCAAAAGUA